GAGAAGGCAGACACACUGCCGCUGAUUGAAUCACGCUGGAGUGAAACCAAGUCUUCUGUGAUACAAGAUCAGAGGAGAUAAUCCAAUUCCUCUGUGCAGGACAAACUUGACCGAGCAGCCGGAAAAGGAACACCUCCGCUCAGUAACGGACCUGCACUUUGAAGCCAGUCCAAGAGGAGCAGCGCGCUACAAUGUCACAAAAACUUCUCAAGGUCCCCCUUGCCGACAGUCCAACCUGAAACAGUGUCUCACUCCACAGACAUGAUGUAACUGCUGUUUGAGCUGAACUCUUCCUGAGUGUAAAUGAUGUGCGCCCAUUCAUGUGUGAAGAACUUGGCUUACAAUGAAAGGACAACUACAUUUAACAAGUUUUUGGACAACACUACUUUUUUGAUGUCAUGCACAGUAACUUCAUCCCCAACACAUUGCAAAUACUUGCCAAUUAACCAAAGUUUGGUAUUGUAAUGUAAAGUUAAUGUUGCUGUGUAACA